GGGUGAUUAGCUCAGCUGGGAGAGCACCUCCCUACAAGGAGGGUCGGCGGUUCGAUCCCGUCAUCACCCACCA
rnacentral:tRNA from 1 species